rnacentral:rRNA from 1 species
ACGCCUUCAUGCAAUUUCGGUCGUCGGCCGGUGAAUAAUUGGAACCGUUUUUUUGUGUUUUUCUUGCUGCAGUAGUAAGUGUUGAGGAUGUAACUCACUUCAUCCCAGCUCUCGCGUUGAAUGUAUUCGACGAGGGCGGCGUUCA